GGCCGUCUCACUCGGUGCCGGACUGUAGGCCGUCUCACUCGGUUCCGGACUGUAGGCAGUCUCACUCGGUUCCGGACUGUAGGCCGUCUCACUCGGUUCCGGACUGUAGGCAGUCUCACUCGGUGCCGGACUGUAGGCAGUCUCACUCGGUUCCGGACUGUAGGCCGUCUCACUCGGUUCCGGACUAGACACUGUUGCCGGACACUCUGGACGAGGUACUGUUGCCGGACACUCUGGACGAGGUACUGUUGCCGGACACUCUGGACGAGGUACAGUUGCCAGACACUCUGGACGAGGUACUGUUGCCAGACACUCUGGACUGGGACUGGGCUGACGCACUGGAAGCCUAAUGCGUGGGGCUGGUAGUGGAGCUACCAGACUGGAGACACGCACUUUAAGGCUAGUGCGAGGAGCGGGAACAGGCUGAAUUGGACUGGGCUGACGCACUGGAGGCCUGAGCGGGUACUGGAUAUACCGGGCCGUGGAGGCGCACUGGUGGUCUCGAUCGCACCUCCUGCACAACCCGUCCUGGCUGGAUGGAACUAGUAGCCCUGCACAAGCGGAGUGCUGGCACAGGGCGAACUGGGCUGUGCAGGGGCCUGAUGGUUGCCGUGCAUAGAGCAGGCGUAGGGUAGCCUGGGCCUAGGAGGCACACUGGUGGCCAGAUGCGCUGCGCAGGCAUCCUCCUUCCAGGCUGGAUGCCUACUCUAGCACGGCACUUGCGAGGGGCUGGGAUCACUCGCACCAGACUGUGCGUGCGCAUGGGCGAAAUCGUGCGCACUUCCGCAUACCUCGGCGCUCUCCACUCCAUACGUUCCCCAUAAUAAGCACGGGGAGCUGGCUUAGGGCUCACCCUUGGCCCAGCCAAACUACCCGUGUGCCCCCCCCCAAAAAAAAUGAUUGGGGGUGCCUCUCCGGCUUCCUAGCCAG
rnacentral:lncRNA from 1 species